AUACGGAGGGUGCAAGCGUUACUCGGAAUCACUGGGCGUAAAGCGCGCGCAGGCGGCUUGAUAAGUUGGAUGUGAAAGCCUACGGCUCAACCGUAGAACUGCAUCCAAAACUGUCAGGCUAGAGUGUGUGAGAGGAAGAUGGAAUUAGUUGUGUAGGGGUAAAAUCCGUAGAGAUAACUAGGAAUACCAAAAGCGAAGGCAAUCUUCUGGAACACUACUGACGCUGAGGCGCGAAGGCGUGGGGAGCAAACAGGAUUAGAAACCCCAGUAGUCC
rnacentral:rRNA from 1 species